rnacentral:rRNA from 1 species
GGWUGGUGCCUUCGGGACUCAGACACAGGUGCUGCAUGGCUGUCGUCAGCUCGCUGUCGWRAGAUGUUGGGUUAAGUCCCGUAACGAGCGCAACCCUUGUCCUUAGUUACCAGCACCUCGGGUGGGCACUCUAAGGAGACUGCCGGUGACAAACCGGAGGAAGGUGGGGAUGACGUCAAGUCAUCAUGGCCCUUACGGCCAGGGCUACACACGUGCUACAAUGGUCGGUACAAAGGGUUGCCAAGCCGCGAGGUGGAGCUAAUCCCAUAAAACCGAUCGUAGUCCGGAUCGCAGUCUGCAACUCGACUGCGUGAAGUCGGAAUCGCUAGUAAUCGUGAAUCAGAAUGUCACGGUGAAUACGUUCCCGGGUCUUGUACACACCG